rnacentral:rRNA from 1 species
ACUGAACGCUGGCGGCAGGCCUAACACAUGCAAGUCGAGCGGAUGAAGAGAGCUUGCUCUCUGAUUUAGCGGCGGACGGGUGAGUAAUGCCUAGGAAUCUGCCUGGUAGUGGGGGAUAACGUCCGGAAACGGGCGCUAAUACCGCAUACGUCCUACGGGAGAAAGCAGGGGACCUUCGGGCCUUGCGCUAUCAGAUGAGCCUAGGUCGGAUUAGCUAGUUGGUGAGGUAAUGGCUCACCAAGGCUACGAUCCGUAACUGGUCUGAGAGGAUGAGCAGUCACACUGGAACUGAGACACGGUCCAGACUCCUACGGGAGGCAGCAGUGGGGAAUAUUGGACAAUGGGCGAAAGCCUGAUCCAGCCAUGCCGCGUGUGUGAAGAAGGUCUUCGGAUUGUAAAGCACUUUAAGUUGGGAGGAAGGGCAGUAAGUUAAUACCUUGCUGUUUUGACGUUACCGACAGAAUAAGCACCGGCUAACUUCGUGCCAGCAGCCGCAGUAAUAC